rnacentral:rRNA from 1 species
AGAGUUUGAUCCUGGCUCAGGAUGAACGCUAGCGGCAGGCUUAACACAUGCAAGUCGAGGGGCAUCGGGAGGGAAGCUUGCUUUCCUUGCCGGCGACCGGCGCACGGGUGAGUAACACGUAUGCAACCUGCCCUCUUCAGGGGGACAACCUUCCGAAAGGGAGGCUAAUCCCGCGUAUAUCGGUUUCGGGCAUCCGAGAUCGAGGAAAGAUUCAUCGGAAGAGGAUGGGCAUGCGGCGCAUUAGCUUGACGGCGGGGUAACGGCCCACCGUGGCGACGAUGCGUAGGGGUUCUGAGAGGAAGGUCCCCCACACUGGUACUGAGACACGGACCAGACUCCUACGGGAGGCAGCAGUGAGGAAUAUUGGUCAAUGGGAGAGAUCCUGAACCAGCCAAGCCGCGUGAGGGAAGACGGCCCUAUGGGUUGUAAACCUCUUUUGUCGGAGAACAAAACCCGGGACGUGUCCCGGACUGCGUGUAUCCGAAGAAAAAGCAUCGGCUAGCUCCGUG